GCCCGGGUGGCGAAAUUGGUAGACGCACUACCUUGAGGUGGUAGCGGGAAUUGCUCCCAUGCUGGUUCAAGUCCAGUCUCGGGCAC
rnacentral:tRNA from 1 species